rnacentral:misc_RNA from 1 species
UUUCCGUAGGUGAACCUGCGGAAGGAUCAUUACCGAAUUGUCAAACGGGUUGUUGCUGGUCUUCAAACGGGGACAUGUGCACGCUCUGUUUACACAUCCACUCACACCUGUUCACCCUCCGUAGUUCUAUGGUCUGGGGGACCCUGUCUUCCUGGCGUGGUUCUACGUCUUUACACACACUCUGUAAUAAAGUCUUAUGGAAUGUAUGCCGCGUCUAACGCAAUACAAUACAACUUUCAGCAACGGAUCUCUUGGCUCUC